UUUAAUAAAAUUUUGCUUUCAUCAGAGAAAGAAGGCGGCAAUGAUAGACCUAAUGCAAUGAUGAGAGAUUUUCGUAAUUGUUUAGGAGGGUGCGACUUCGAGGAUACGGGUUGUUUUGGUGAUCCUUUCAUUUGGACGAGAGGUAACACUUGGGAGAGACUUGAACGUGUGGUUUGCAAUGUGGAUUGGGCGAAUAAAUUCCCUCAGGCUGCGAUAAUAAACACGUUCAUUCUGAUCAUCAUCCUCUCGUCAUGGAUACUGAAUAUUUUGAUGGCAAUACUUUCAAUAGUCCAAGGGGACGAAUGA
rnacentral:rRNA from 1 species